rnacentral:misc_RNA from 1 species
GAUGAAGAACGCAGCGAAAUGCGAUACGUAAUGUGAAUUGCAGAAUUCAGUGAAUCAUCGAAUCUUUGAACGCAUAUUGCGCUCUCUGGUAUUCCGGAGAGCAUGCUUGUUUGAGUAUCAGUAAACACCUCAACUUCCAUAUCUUUUUUGAAAUGGGAGUUGGACUUGAGUGAUCCCAACGCUUUUCCUCACCGAAAAGUGGCGGGUUACUUGAAAUGCAGGUGCAGCUGGACUUUUCUCUGAGCUAUAAGCAUAUCUAUUUAGUCUGCCUAAAAAACAGAUUAUUACCUUUGCUGCAGCUAACAUAAAGGAGAUUAGUUCUUGUGCUGACUGAUGCAGGAUUCACAGAGACAGGCUUCGGCCGACUUUGUAAACUCGAUCUCAAAUCAAGUAAGACUAUCCGCUGAACUUAAGCAUAUCAAUAAGCGGAGGA